AUGAGGAAGACUCAGAGAGAGAGAAGAGCUGGACCAUCUGAAACUUGCUCUCUCUCUCAAAACUCAUGAUCAAGGAACUGCCUGCUUCCAGAGGGAAUCUCCACCUACCUCUGGAUGAUACUUGUGUGCUGUCCAGUAGUGAGCUGCCCUGGCAAUGCGAAUAUGGAAGAGAAGAGAGCAGAGUGAGACAAACCACAGUCUCAUUCCAAAACAAACAAGAAGGGGCAUCUUCUUCAUACACAACCUUAUAUGUGUGCAGUAGAGAUUUAGGUUGAUAUUUUCAAAGCUGCUUCAGCAAUUGGGGUAACCUUGGCAGAAGAAUUUAGACAACUGAAUUGAUCAGGCUAAUCCCAUGCAGAGGGAAGACUGCUGCAGCCUUGCACUGUCCUUUCAAAAUCCACAGGUUUUAUGGAUAGUCUGCUGUGACAAGCUUGCUGUAAAUUUGUGACAAAUGUACAGAUAACACCUUAUUAUAAAAUAGUUUGGAACGUUUUAUAUGUAAGUUGCUGAAUAAGUAAUAGCAAGCCAGUAAUCCUACACCAAGCAAAUCAGGGAGAUGCAGUUUGGGUUAGUCACGAUUACAGUUAUCCUUCAAGCUGUAUUGUUAAAGGAAUGCUGCUGCUAUAUAGUUCUGUCAUUUUUGCUUUAGGGAGAAUUAGGCAGUAUGAAAGCAUGACCUUAAUAAGACAACACAGAAAAUAGCAAGGAUCUGAUUGUGGCCUUGCACUUGGGUGGUAAUUUUCCUCUAUACCAAGAGACUGUAAAAUGCUACCAUUUCAGAAUAAAAGAUCCUUGCAGCUAUUUUGUAUGGAAGUAAAAGGCUAAUAGUGAAGAAAGGGGCUCCAAAGGCAUUUGAGUAUGCCAGAAGGCACACUUACUUGGGAAAACUGACCAGCAUAGCUACAGCAGAAUAACUCCUUCAUGUGGACAUACUAUUUAGAAUUAAAAUUGAUAUUGGACCCCAUGGGAUGAGAGUGCCACUUUGAAAUUAAUGUAAUUAUUUCAGUUUGCAGAUUAGCCCCUAAUACUCUGUAUCACACAGUCACUGCCAUAAAUUUGUCAUUUACUCAUGAGAGACUUAGAAAUAAGUAAACAAAAAAGCUUACCAGAGUAAAUGAACUGGAUGGCACCUGACCUUAUGCACUGCCAACCUGAGUCCUCUGAUACUUUAAAUUUGAAACUGGCGAGUAGAAGAGUGCACAAAGUGAUGACAAGGGCCACUGAGGGCCAAAACCUUGUUCGGAGUGCCCCUACUCCUGAAAGGGAACUCUGGAUGAUUUGAGCAUGUGUUCAUUCCCAUUUCUUUGGUAUCACUGCCACCAAUGAAAAAAGCAGCAACCUCUCCUGUACAGUAGGGAAACUCUGCUGGUAGUUGUGAGGAAUGAAUACAUAGUGGUAGUGAUGCAUGGAGUUAUGGUACUUCUCUUAUUCUGCUCUCCCUCACCCUCUUUCAGCUAGCUGUCUCUUUCCUAUGAUAGUAGGAAAAAGCUCAUAAUUUUCUACCAGUGAUAUCGUAACUAGCCCCUACACAGAUGCACAAAAGGAGAGCUCAUGUCUUUGUCAUGCACAGUCUCAUGUACAGUUUGAGCAGAAUGUAGUGUGUACUCUUCUGAUCCAUGAUGUAAAGGGAGCAGAGAAGUCCUGAAGAGCUAGAGAAUCAUUGUAGAAGUGAGACGGCAUAGUUGAUGCGUCUACUAUUUUAUUCAGAAAAAAGGAACCUUUAAAACAUUAGUUUUAUGUAGAGCUUUUUGGCAAAAAUUCAUCACAAGUAAAACUAAAAACUGCCUUGGCUUCAAAUCCUGUGUAACUGAAAGACGGGAGGUGAAAGCAGAAUAGAAUCCUGGGCUGAAUCCU